UACGUAGGGGGCAAGCGUUGUCCGGAUUUAUUGGGCGUAAAGCGCGCGUAGGCGGCAAGGUAUGUCGUGCGUGAAAUCUCCCGGCUUAACUGGGAGGGCCGUGCGAAACUGCCUGGCUUGAGGUCGGAAGGGGAAAGUGGAAUUCCGGGUGUAGUGGUGGAAUACGUAGAUAUCAGGAGGAACACCGGUGGCGAAGGCGGGAUCUCUGGGCCGAUGACUGACGCUGGAGGAGCGAAAGCAUGGGUAGCAAACAGG
rnacentral:rRNA from 1 species